rnacentral:rRNA from 1 species
AUUGAACGCUGGCGGCAGGCCUAACACAUGCAAGUCGAACGAGUGGCGGACGGGUGAGUAAUGUCUUGGAAACUGCCUGAUGGAGGGGGAUAACUACUGUAAACGGUAGCUAAUACCGCAUACCAUACGAUGUGCCGAGAUGGGAUUAGCUCGGAGGUGGGGUAAAGGCUCACCUAGGCGACGAUCCCUAGCUGGUCUACGAGGAUGACAAGCCACACUGGAACGGAGACACGGUCCAGACUCCUACGGGAGGCAGCAGUGUGGAAGAUUGCACAAUGGGCGCAAGCCUGAUGAAGCCACGCCGCGUGUAUGAAGAAGGCUUUCGGGUUGUAAAGUACUUUCAGCGGGGAGGCGUUACCCGCAGAAGAAGCACCGGCUAACUCCGUGCCAGCAGCCGCGGUAAUAC